rnacentral:tRNA from 1 species
UCCCUGGGGGUCCAGAGGUUAAGACCCUGUGCUUAUAAUGCAGGGGACCCAGGUUCAAUCCCUGGUCAGGAAG